rnacentral:tRNA from 1 species
CAGGUGGCGGAACUGGUAGACGCGUUGGACUUAAAAUCCAAUGGCCAUACGAUGGCUGUGCGGGUUCAAGUCCCGCCCUG